rnacentral:rRNA from 1 species
UACGAAGGGGGCUAGCGUUGCUCGGAAUCACUGGGCGUAAAGCGCACGUAGGCGGAUCUUUAAGUCAGGGGUGAAAUCCCGGAGCUCAACUCCGGAACUGCCUUUGAUACUGGUAGUCUCGAGUCCGGAAGAGGUGAGUGGAAUUCCGAGUGUAGAGGUGAAAUUCGUAGAUAUUCGGAGGAACACCAGUGGCGAAGGCGGCUCACUGGUCCGGUACUGACGCUGAGGUGCGAAAGCGUGGGGAGCGAACGGG